CGCCCGGGAGGCCGGUGUGGCGCUGCGGACGGUCUCACGCGUCGUCAACCAGGAUCCCACCGUGGGCCCCGAUCUCGUUCAACGGGUCCGGGCGGCCA
rnacentral:tRNA from 1 species